rnacentral:tRNA from 1 species
GGGAAGAUGGCUCAGUGGUAGAGUGCUUGUUUUGCAUGCAUGAGACCCUGGGUUCGAUUCCUCAGUACCA